UACGGAGGGUGCGAGCGUUGUCCGGAAUCAUUGGGCGUAAAGCGCGUGUAGGCGGUCUGUUAAGUCGGAUGUGAAAGCUCCGGGCUCAACUCGGAAAUUGCAUCCGAUACUGGCAGACUUGAGGAUGGUAGAGGUCGGUGGAAUGCAGAGUGUACCGGUGAAAUGGGCAGAUAUUCUGCGGAACACCAGUGGCGAAGGCGGCCGACUGGGCCAUUCCUGACGCUGAGACGCGAAAGCCAGGGUAGCGAACCGG
rnacentral:rRNA from 1 species